CAGGCUUACACAUGCAAGUCGAGCGGUAGCACAGGGGAGCUUGCUCCCCGGGUGACGAGCGGCGGACGGGUGAGUAAUGUCUGGGAAACUGCCUGAUGGAGGGGGAUAACUACUGGAAACGGAGUAACCGCAAAGUCCAAACCAAAAGGGGCCUUGGGCCUCUUCCCAUAAAUGGCCCAGAUGGAUAGCUGUAGGGGGGUAAAGCUCACCUAGGGACGAUCCCNAGCUGUCNAGAGAUGACCAGCCACACGGAAAUGAGACACGGUCCAGACUCCUACGGAAGCAGCAGUGGGAAUUUGCACAAUGGGCGCAAGCCUGAUGCAGCCAUGCCGCGUGUGGAAGAAGGCCUUCGGGUUGUAAAGCACUUUCAGCGAGGAGGAAGGUGGUGAGCUUAAUACGCUCAUCAAUUGACGUUACUCGCAGAAGAAGCACCGGCUAACUCCGUGCCAGCAGCCGCGGUAAUACGGAGGGUGCAAGCGUUAAUCGGAAUUACUGGGCGUAAAGCGCACGCAGGCGGUUUGUUAAGUCAGAUGUGAAAUCCCCGGGCUCAACCUGGGAACUGCAUUUGAAACUGGCAAGCUAGAGUCUCGUAGAGGGGGGUAGAAUUCCAGGUGUAGCGGUGAAAUGCGUAGAGAUCUGGAGGAAUACCGGUGGCGAAGGCGGCCCCCUGGACGAAGACUGACGCUCAGGUGCGAAAGCGUGGGGAGCAAACAGGAUUAGAUACCCUGGUAGUCCACGCUGUAAACGAUGUCGAUUUGGAGGUUGUGCCCUUGAGGCGUGGCUUCCGGAGCUAACGCGUUAAAUCGACCGCCUGGGGAGUACGGCCGCAAGGUUAAAACUCAAAUGAAUUGACGGGGGCCCGCACAAGCGGUGGAGCAUGUGGUUUAAUUCGAUGCAACGCGAAGAACCUUACCUACUCUUGACAUCCAGAGAACUUUCCAGAGAUGGAUUGGUGCCUUCGGGAACUCUGAGACAGGUGCUGCAUGGCUGUCGUCAGCUCGUGUUGUGAAAUGUUGGGUUAAGUCCCGCAACGAGCGCAACCCUUAUCCUUGUUGCCAGCGGUUCGGCCGGGAACUCAAGGAGAUGCCAUGAAACUGGAAAGGUGGGGANGACUCAGUCAUCAGGCCCUUACAAUAGGCUACACGUGCUACAUGGCUUACAAGAAAACGACUCCCGAAACACGGACUCAAAAUACUCCUAAUCCGGAUGGAUCNCAACCCCCCAUGAAUCGAACCGCAAAUCGUAGAUCAGAAUGCUACGGUGAAUACGUUCCCGGGCCUUGUACACACCGCCCGUCACACCAUGGGAGUGGGUUGCAAAAGAAGUAGGUAGCUUAACCUUCGGGAGGGCGCUUACCACUUUGUGAUNCANG
rnacentral:rRNA from 1 species